CUUCCAAGUGUACUUUACUUCCUUUCAUUUUUGCCCUAAGCAUUUCAACAAACCUUCACUCCUGCUCUAAAACUUGCCUUGGUCUCUUCUUCUGCCUUAUGCCCUUCAGUUGAAUUCUUUCUUCUGAGGCGGCAAGAGUUGAUUUUGCUGAUGUAUUUUGGUGCCCUGCGACUCGGAUAACUUUCACCGCUAACAUGUUGGCACUGCAUGACUAGGAUACGUGCCCUAGAGGUGACCAUGUUGCCCAGAGACCACAUGUUGAAACUCCUGGUUGAAACCAUUUCACCACACUUCCAAUGGAUUAAAGAUGACAGGGCCCAACUGGGGUAAGUUUGAGCUUUGCCAGUUUGAUACUGGGUGCUAAUGUCUGUUUUGUAAUGCAUAUUUUGUUGCCGCUGAAAUGGAAAAUGUUAUUUUGGUUACCCUCUGAAGCCACUUCAGUGGCAACUUACCUGUGCAUUCAUAAACUGGAAAAAGAAUUUUCCUUUGUGUUGCAGUUUGGCUCCCACAGUUAAUAUUCAGCAAAGAGGGUCAUGAGGGCCACGCAGAGAAAGAAAACCCAGAAACCUGGCAUGCCAGACAAAAGGGGACAUGGAUGAAUCUGGAAAACAUCAUCCUCAGCAAACUGACACAAGAACAGAAGAUGAAACACCGCAUAUUCUCACUCAUAGGAUUCCAAGCAAGGAGGGCCAAGCAGCUAUUGCUCCAAUCUGGACUUCUAGUGAGAAAAGGCAAGAGAAAUUCUAUGAUGUAAUGACACAAGAUCUGCCAUAUUUUCAAUAUUCAUUUUUCAAUAAUCAAUGUAGGGUAAUUAUCUGUCCCUAAAUAGAAAGAAGACAGAAUUAAAGAAUUACUUCUUUAAACUGGUCUACUAUUGCCAAAAAGUAGAAAAUGGAUUAGGUAGGUAUUCUAAGUAGAUGACAAUUUCUAUGAUUUUAUGGAACAGCAAAGUCUGACAGAAAAAGAAUUAGUCUUAAUUUUGUGAACUACAGAAAUUGCUUUCUUUGAUUUUAAUUUUAAUUUUUAAUUUCAGUAGGUUUUAAGGAAAAAGGUGGUAUUUGGUUACAUGGACAAGUUCUUUAUUGGUGAUUUCUGAAAUCUCGGUGCACAUAUCACCCCAGCAGAAACCCAAUGUGUACAGGGUUAUUUUAUUCCUCACCCACAUCCCACCCUUUCCAGAGUCCCAAAAGUCCAUGAUAUCAUUUUUGUACCUUUGCAUCUUCAUAGCUUAGCUCCCUCUUAUGAGUGAGAACAUACAAUGUUUAGUUUUCAAUUCCUGAGUUAAUUUAUUUGGAGCAAUGCUCCAAUUCCAUUUAGGUUGCUGUAAAUACCAUUAUUUUUUCCUUUUUCUUGGGUGAGUAAUAUUUCAUGGUAUAUAUAUCUAUGUGUGUAUAUAUGUGUGUGUGUGUAUGUGUGUGUGUAUAUAUAUAUAUGUAUAUAUACAUAUAUAUAUAUAUAUUAGAGCUGGUUUCAUAUUUUUAGCAUUGUAAAUUGUGUUGCUAUAAACAUGUGUGUGCAAGUAUCUUUUCUGUAUAAUAACUUCUUUACCUCUGGGUGACACCUAGUAGUGGGAUUGCUAGAUCAAAUGGUAGAUCUACUUUAAGUUCUUUAAGAAAUCUCCAUACUGUUUCCCAUAGUGAUUGUAGUAGUUUACAUUCCCACCAACCAUGUAAAAGUGUUCUUUUUUCACCACAUCCAAACCAAUGUCUAUUUUUUUUAUUAUGUCCAUCCUUACAGGAGUAAGGUUAUAUUGCAUUGUGGUUUUCAUUUGCAUUUCCC
rnacentral:lncRNA from 13 species